CUGUUGGUGCUCUUUAUGCUGCAGAUGGAUAUAAAACGGAAAGAGAGCGAGAGGUGGAGACUCCCUUCCUUCCUGCAAUGCAUUUAUCAUGGCCGCAGGAGCCGGAGAAAAGGCCACAUAACAGAAGAGGCAAACGUUCAUGAAGAUGCUGUGCAGGACCUCGAGGAAGAAGUGGCUCUGAGCAGACUGUCACCCAACGGAAACUAUGAAGAAGCUGCUGGAGGCACRGGCACCUAGAGCUGCCGGGCACCCAGCACAGGCCAUGUCCUGGAUCUGCCUGGUUGAUUUGGAGCUGUGGGAGGAAGAGCUGGCGCAUGCCCACGUGCCUUCUCCUCUGGGGAGCAGCUGCUCGCCUUAACUCGCCAGGGCCUUCUGUAGCUACCACCAGCCUCCAGCGUCCGUGCUAGCCAGUCCUCCUCUGCUCACAGCGCUGCAGCAGCAGAGCCUUGCGGGGGCUGUGUCCCACUGCCCGUGGGGUGCCUGGAGCUGCCAAUGGGCAACGGUCUUUUGAGAAGCCCUUUGGGAACGUUGUCUUCUGGCUGGGUGUGAAGAUGUGGGGAUUUGGGUUGUUAAAUGCUGCAAUCUGCCUGCAGAAAGAGGAAUGCUUCCAAAUUCUGAGCAAAAUUCCCUGCUGAGAGAGGCCUUUCAGGCUGUUCUCCCUGGCAAGCAGACUCUGCUGCCGUGUUUUCCUGCUUUAUUGCUGUUUUGAAGUUGCCUCCCACUCUCUGAUCAGGAAAAGAAARACGAGUAACAUGGUGGCAUGGGGACUGCAGUGGGACUAAGUGUGAGGCCUCGAAUUGACCAGCAGGCUGAAAAGGCUUGAACAUUACUGUGUAAUGCAAAGAAAUGCAGUAACCGCCUGUUCUGGGUCGCAAGAAUAAUGCAGAAGAUACGGAAAAUAAUGGCAGUGGGAGCGUGGUUUUGAGAGCAGGAUGCAUCUGCCUGGCUUGUCUUGGCGUUCACAGACUGACCGACGGGCUGCUUGGGCUGGGAGGUGACAGACAUGGACUGCUAUGUGGUUGAUGUUAGAUGGGGUGAGGAGAGAGGCCUGUCUGAGCAUGGACGUCUCCACAACCAUGUGGUGUCAGGUCCAGGAGGAGGCCCACUGUGUUCCUCUCACUGAGAUGUCGCUGCUUCAUGAAUGAAUGAAUAAAUACAUAUAUAUGUAUGAAGAAUCA
rnacentral:lncRNA from 1 species